UUACUUAGCGAAUCUAUGAUUAUUUUUAAAUCAAGCUGGCAAGAAUCCAAAUUUAUGGAAACGAGUAAGGUUAGGUGACAGGAAGGGAAAAUUCAACUACGGUAAGAUAGUGAACCCUUCUGACAACGAUAACAAGGCGUUAGCAUAUGAUACCAUAUUAUUUGAUACCAUACUGCUAUUGCUCGGUUCUAUUUCCUUUCCGGGUUAGCCAGGCGCUCAUAAAUCCAUAAACAAAAAAAAUAUUCAAGAACUUUUGAAAUCAUUUAGGGUCUCCGAAGAAAUUUUUGUUUUUGAAGCUUCUGAAAAAAGUUACAAGCCUUCAAACUUGCAAUAGUGUCAAAAUGACACUCUAAUGCGGAUGAAGGUGAAUAAACCCUUUUUUCUUUUAUGAACAAUCUUAUUCGUUCAACUUUUUCGACUCGAGUGACAUACACACAAAACUUUCAAGGCUCCACUUACCAAAAAUACUGUGUUACUUUCGAUUAGCAAAAAGAGUUGUUUUACUAACGCGAUAGCAAAGUUAUUAUUUUGCUUGAUUUUGGUAAAAAAGCAGCCUACACACAAAAUUUCUCGGCCUCAACUUAGCAAAAAGUGACCAUUACUUUCCGUUAGCAAAAUAAUUUUUUUACUGUUGAGUUAGCACUUUCCUAAAUUGUCAUGACUUUUGUUCAAUUUGAGUAAAAACAACUCAUUUCCUACUUAUUUUAGUAUUUAAAGUAGCAUAGACUCCAACUUUAACGGCGCGUUCGUAAAUUGAUUUUUUUGGGUGAUGCAUCAGUCGAUUGAUUUAUUUGGUAGAUGUCAAAUCACUUUCCAUAUGCUUUUGCAUACGUUUGUUAGGAAUUUACGAACGCCAGCAUCGAUAAAAAAAAUCACUUCGAUAGAAAAAAUCAAUUUACGAACACGCCGUAAGUCUAUACACGAACCGCGGUGAACGUUUUGUUUUGGCAGCCAUUCAAUUUUGUUUUCUUUUCGGGGCGAUUUGUGAAUGUUUCGAUUACAUUUGAAAUUUCUAUCGAGUUAACUUUAGUUUCAGGCUUUCAGGUGUUUGCUUUCCGUUUUCGGAGAAUCCCCUGUGAUUAACAUGAUACUCCAGAACCCAAGUGCCGGUCUACGUCAAUAAAGUGACCGAAUCGGAAUCGUCCGGCCCGGAUGCAUGUAAGUUGCUUCGGCAAAUAAUAUCGCUUCGGUUGUGUUCAUCUAGGCAUCGAAUUAUACCCGCUGAGAGGUUUACCCUUCAAACGAUUUUCGAUGGUACUGGAGAAAGGAACUAUCAAAACGUUUAAUCCGAUUCCCCUACUCUUUAGCAGAUUGGUAAGUGAGUUUCAAGAUGGAAUUUGAGCUUGAAAGAAAAAUAAUUUGGCUAUGUUUUUCAGGCUUCGUCAUUUCCGGGGUCAUUAAAAAAAAAGAGGACGAAAAAAAUGGCAAAGGUCCUAUCCAAAUGGCUUGCCAACAACAAGACCCGCAGCAUCUGUCGGAUCUCUGUAGAGGCAAGAGGUUACUGCUUGCUACUCGGGAACAAAUAUCCAGUUGUCUGGGGGGAAAUUUUUUGCCCAAUAACCCGUAUCCGGAAAACCACUGGCAUCAUCCGGAGCUGUCGUCUCUGACUAACACUCACCGUCUGGAAAACUUCGGAUCGCCAGGAAAAAAGUGAAAAUUAAAUGAUUUUUUUGAGGUACACAUAACCUGUUACGACCGGACAAGGCACCAAAGAUGAGCUGGUAGAAGACUGUCAGUCCUGGCCAAUUCUACACAACCGAUAGCCCGUUUUUUCAUCUUUGUUACAAAUAAUGCCGUACUGCUAAUAUUCACAUGGGUAUUCCAAAUUACAUUGUUCAUCAAAGAAUCGUUUGUUGUACCUAACGGAUUCAAUGUUCCCUAUUCUCGGAGAUGCAAAACAUUUGCACUUUAGCAGUUUCCUGAAAAAAAGACAUGACAAGGAGAUAGUGUUAUUACAUAAGAAAAUGACAUUAAAUGUAAAAACAAAAUUGGAAAAUAUACUAUCUAUUCAUUUUGAACAGGUAUAAAAUCCAUAUUAUUGUGAAUCUCAGAAUCCUAAAUUUAACUAAUUUAGCAGUAAAAACGAAAAAAAAAAUUGCUGAAAAUGCAGCAAAAAAGAAUUUUUGUUUGCUGAAAAAUUAGUAAAAAUUUAGUCCGGACACUUUUGGGUAUUUUGCUAAAAUUUUAGUAAAAAAAAAUUGCUAAAUUGAUUGCUAAGUUU